UUCAACGUAGUUUUAAAUUUGCUUCAGAAAACGUUGCCAUUUGUGUCGUUGUGUUCAAGUUAGUUUACUUUUGACGCUCGUAUUCGCGGCAUGAAGAAUUUAGGAAGCGAUUCAUGAAAGCUGCAAUUCGUUUCUUAGCUUGGUGCGAGCUAGGUUUGGCGGUUUCUGCUAUUUGAAGUAAAAUUCGAAAGAUGGAGUUGGAUUUUUUUGACAUUGUCGUUUACUUGACUAAGGAAUGAAGGAAGGUUCGUAAAUUCUGAACCAUCCUAGUAGCAGGCAAUUCAAGUAUUAUCGAGCAUACUUAAUCGUAGAAUGGCAGAAACAAUAUCUAGUUUCUGGGGUCCUGUUACAUCUCCUGAAUGGUGUGAAAAGAACUAUGUCUACUCUUCUUAUAUUGCAGAAUU